rnacentral:tRNA from 1 species
CAAAUUAGAGCUUGGGUAGAAAAAGUAUCUUAUUUACAUUAAGAGGAAAAUUGUGAAAGUCAAUUUAAUUUGA